rnacentral:rRNA from 1 species
UGCAGUCGAACGGGCGUAGCAAUACGUCAGUGGCAGACGGGUGAGUAACGCGUGGGAACGUACCUUUUGGUUCGGAACAACUGAGGGAAACUUCAGCUAAUACCGGAUAAGCCCUUACGGGGAAAGAUUUAUCGCCGAAAGAUCGGCCCGCGUCUGAUUAGCUAGUUGGUGAGGUAAUGGCUCACCAAGGCGACGAUCAGUAGCUGGUCUGAGAGGAUGAUCAGCCACAUUGGGACUGAGACACGGCCCAAACUCCUACGGGAGGCAGCAGUGGGGAAUAUUGGACAAUGGGGGCAACCCUGAUCCAGCCAUGCCGCGUGAGUGAUGAAGGCCCUAGGGUUGUAAAGCUCUUUUGUGCGGGAAGAUAAUGACGGUACCGCAAGAAUAAGCCCCGGCUAACUUCGUGCCAGCAGCCGCGGUAAUACGAAGGGGGCUAGCGUUGCUCGGAAUCACUGGGCGUAAAGGGUGCGUAGGCGGGUUUCUAAGUCAGAGGUGAAAGCCUGGAGCUC